GCUCGAAUGGCGGGAAGCGAGGGACUUAAAAUCCCUUGGGCAGUAACGCCUGUGCGGGUUCGAGUCCCGCUUCGAGCA
rnacentral:tRNA from 1 species